rnacentral:rRNA from 1 species
UACGUAGGGCGCAAGCGUUGUCCGGAAUUAUUGGGCGUAAAGAGCUCGUAGGUGGCGUGUCGCGUCUGCCGUGAAAGCCCAUGGCUUAACUGUGGGUCUGCGGUGGAUACGGGCAGGCUGGAGGCUGGUAGGGGCAAGCGGAAUUCCUGGUGUAGCGGUGAAAUGCGCAGAUGUCAGGAGGAACACCGGUGGCGAAGGCGGCUUGCUGGGCCAGUUCUGACGCUGAGGAGCGAAAGCGUGGGGAGCGAACAGG